UACGUAGGGCGCAAGCGUUAUCCGGAAUUAUUGGGCGUAAAGCGCGUGCAGGCGGCUCGUUAAGUCGACUGUGAAAGCCCUUGGCUCAACCAAGGAAGUGCAGUCGAAACUGGCGAGCUAGAGUCCCGAAGAGGGUGGCGGAAUUCCCAGUGUAGAGGUGAAAUUCGAUAGAUAUUGGGAAGAACACCGGUGGCGAAGGCGGCUCACUGGCUCAUAUCUGACGCUCAGGCGCGAACAGCGUGGGGAUCAAAACAGG
rnacentral:rRNA from 1 species